UACUUCUUUGUCUUUAAUGGUCAGUUUUU
rnacentral:piRNA from 1 species